UUAUUCAAUUUUAUUUCAAGAUUUCUUGCCAAUAGAGAAAGAGCUGGAUUCUAGCCUAGAUCCAAGGGUCUUUCAUUGGAAUUACAACAACAUUGACAGGGUAUUUUUCUAUGUAUGUAUGUAUGUAUGUAUGUAUGUAUGUAUGUAUGUAUGUUUGCAGUCGUGUAUGCUUGUCAAGAGCAGGGCUCAUUAGCCACCAACGGAGCUGCAAAUGCAAAAUAUAAGUUAGUCCCAGAACGCACAAUGUUCCUGAAGGUCGGCAAUGGACUUCCUCGGUCACGAGUGGACGGCCAUCAUGCAUGUAUCUACAGUAUUUGGUGGCAGUACAUGUGCAGUCAUUUGACCACAGCCAUGCUGGAGCACUGCCUUGAACGGCUUUAGUCGAACAAAUCGACCCCAGGACUUAUUUCUUAAACCUAGUACUUAUUUUAUUGGUCUCUUUUGCUGAACUGCUAAGUUACAGGGAUGUAAACACACCAACAAGAGUUGUCAAGCGAUGGUGGAGGGAGAAACACAGACACAAAGAUAUAUAAAUAUAUAUCUGAAACUUGGAGUUUUAUCAUGGCUAUUGAAUAAUUGUCACAUAUUAUUUACAGAUAAAUUCCUCUAUUUACAUAA